AAAAUCAAGUGUUAGAAAACACACAAAGGAUCUCACAUAAAGCCACCAAGGUAUUACACUCGACACUGGUCGACUGUCUCUCGUCAUCCUCUGACAUUUCACAGGCCGUCUCUGACAUUUCUCGCACCAUCUGCACGUUGCAAAACUCCUAACAUCUUCCCGAGGAGCUUUGUUUUGUAGAAAAAAACCCGUCCCCUGAACAAUUUCCUCAGCCGCUCUCUAUUUUUUUCUUUGAAAAGAGCAGAUCUGCUUGUCUCGUCUCUUCUCGCUCUUUACAUUUGUUUCUUCCUCUCUAAAAAAAACCCAUCUUACAGUACUGAUGCACUGCCUCAGCUUCGUGCACGCCUUACUUUUCCGUUUGACACUUAACCCGGAGGCUAUUUCAAACUGUGAAAAUACAAGAAAACCUCAACUGACAAUCAACAACACACACUGGCAAUGACUUAAAAUUGAUACCUAAGAAAAUUUGAGGUAAAGUCUGAAGUUUCAAUAUUCGCCAUGUUCAGUAAUUAAAACACUUACAUAUAUUUAUAUUAGACACACAUAAAGAAAUAGAUGAAACCCUCAAUGGAGAAAUGUGGCGUGGGUUCACUGCUUCACUUUUGUGAGUUUUUGUGCUACUGUGGAUCUGAAAAAAGGAAAUGCUCAGUUUAUUCUAGACUCGCCUAGUUAAGUAGAUUUUAUUAAUGAAAGUCUGCACUUCGGUGACUUAACAGAGGUUGGAUUACACAGGCUAGUUUUGACUAAAUAUCUGAUAAACAGACACAGUGCUCUGUUUUCUUAAUUAAAUGUUACUUUAGCUUAGGCCCGACUGAUACAGGAUUUUUAAGACGGAUACCAAUAUCGGGUGAUUUAAAUAUCAGAUAUCCCGAUACAUCGGCCAAUAUUUUUUUCUUGUCAGACACAGAACUUUCUAAAAAUUCGCAGAUUUACUUUUUCCCAACUUUUCACAUUUUUCCUGUGUAGUUAUUUAUUUACUUGUCUGCUGACUGCUCACAUCAGCUGGCUGUGGAGUUUGAUCCAGUGUGCUGCCUGGAGGGAAGCCGCAGACAUAGUUUGCCCUCUGGUGGACAAACUGUGCAACAACACCCAUGACAUGAGUUAAACUUCAGGGUGUUUCUCCCGUUUCUUCCUUGCAUUUCAAAAUGUACAAAUGUGUUUAUCACAGAUAGGUCUGCUAAUAUCAGCUGAUAGUAUUGGCAGGACUCUAGUUUAGCUUGUUGUGUAAGACUGGCUUUUUGGAAGUUAUGCUACAAGUUGUGAUUCGACAUCAAAGAUUACUUCGAUUAUUAUUCUUAUUAUUAUGGACGGUUUUACUCGCUAAGGUAUUCCUCAAUCUUUAAAUGAAAUCACUUAACGAGAUGUCUUUCAUAGUGUCCGCUGCCACUGAAUGUGGAGCAGUGUUGGCAAUAACACGAGGAACAGUUAAAAGAGAUGUAAGAUCACCGCACAGAGUGAAUUUGGAAAAGCUUCUUGUUUUGUGUUUGUUUUGUAGGCCUAACAGAGAAGCAGACGAGUCAGCGCCACUGUACAGUUUGUUCUGUACCGAGAAUUAUGACGGGGGAGUGUUACAUACUUCCCUCUGAUUGUUAAAAGUGAACUGAAAAAAAAAAGGAAAUCACUGUUGAAGGUCCUGUUCUCAGUUAUACUGGAACUACAGCCCUUCAGCACCUCCUAGAGAGCAAACAAAGACCAGUUACCAAAACUCCAUCGUUGAUUGCGCUCACCAACGUGUUCGUUUUAACUGAACAGCUGUCAUGGCUGUGAUCCCACACAGUUAAAUAUAAUGCUACAGAGAGUUUUUACGGAGAUCCCAUGUCUCCUCGUAUAUUCUCUCUAACUGUGUUGUUUUGAUUGAAAGACUCUAACCUUAGCUCUCUCGAUCAAACUGCACAAGCUUGAAUUGAAAGUGUCCAAUGAUAAGCGAGCGCGCUGCCUCAGUGUGCAGUCUCACUCGAGGGAGACAAACUCUUCAAAACGCUCUUUGGUCCAAAUUUUCAUACGCAGUUCUGAAAUUCCCCCGUGUCGUGCCAAAAGCCCUCGGAGAGAACUGUGAUAUAUAGAAAACAAGUGCAAUAAAGCCAUUAUUUAGAAAGCUUUACAUUGUGUGUGACUGAUUUUUCAAA